rnacentral:rRNA from 1 species
GACGUAGGGCGCGAGCGUUGUCCGGAUUUAUUGGGCGUAAAGAGCUCGUAGGCGGCCUGUCGCGUCUGCUGUGAAAUCCCGGGGCUUAACCCCGGGCGUGCAGUGGAUACGGGCUGGCUGGAGGCAGGCAGGGGAGAACGGAAUUCCCGGUGUAGCGGUGAAAUGCGCAGAUAUCGGGAGGAACACCGGUGGCGAAGGCGGUUCUCUGGGCCUGUACUGACGCUGAGGAGCGAAAGCGUGGGGAGCGAACAGG